GGCAGCUAUCUACCUACUAAUCUCACAUGGUCGCCCACUGAAGCUAAGCAGGGCUGCGCCCGGUUAGUACCUGGAUGGGAGACCACAUGGGAAAACCAGGUUGUUGCUGUUG
rnacentral:rRNA from 1 species